rnacentral:rRNA from 1 species
CUACGGGUUGCUGCAGUAAGGAAUAUUGCGCAAUGGAGGCAACUCUGACGCAGCCAUGCCGCGUGCAGGAAGAAGGCCUUAUGGGUCGUAAACUGCUUUUAUUUAGGAAUAAACCCCCGAACGUGUUCGGGGCUGAAGGUACUAAACGAAUAAGCACCGGCUAACUCCGUGCCAGCAGCCGCGGUAAUACGGAGGGUGCAAGCGUUAUCCGGAUUUAUUGGGUUCAAAGGAUGCGCAGGCGGGCUAUUAAGUCAGUGGUGAAAUCCCGGGGCUCAACUCCGGAACUGCCAUUGAUACUGAUAGUCUUGAGUUUGGUUGAAGUGGGCGGAAUGUAGCAUGUAGCGGUGAAAUGCAUAGAUAUGCUACAGAACACCAAUCGCGAAGGCAGCUCACUAAGCCAAAACUGACGCUCAUGCACGAAAGCGUGGGGAUCAAACAGGAUUAGAUACCCGUGUAGUC